UGGGGAAUAUUGGACAAUGGGCGAAAGCCUGAUCCAGCCAUGCCGCGUGUGUGAAGAAGGUCUUCGGAUUGUAAAGUACUUUAAGUUGGGAGGAAGGGCAGUUACCUAAUACGUAUCUGUUUUGACGUUACCGACAGAAUAAGCACCGGCUAACUCUGUGCCAGCAGCCGCGGUAAUACAGAGGGUGCAAGCGUUAAUCGGAAUUACUGGGCGUAAAGCGCGCGUAGGUGGUUUGUUAAGUUGGAUGUGAAAUCCCCGGGCUCAACCUGGGAACUGCAUUCAAAACUGACAAGCUAGAGUAUGGUAGAGGGUGGUGGAAUUUCCUGUGUAGCGGUGAAAUGCGUAGAUAUCGGAAGGAACAUCGGUGGCGAAGGCGUCUACCUGGCCUAAUACUGACACUGAGGCACGAAAGCGUGGGGAGCAAACAGGAUUAGAUACCCACGUAGUCCCUGAGCGGGCUGGCAAGGCGCAU
rnacentral:rRNA from 1 species